UACGUAGGGGGCAAGCGUUGUCCGGAUUUAUUGGGCGUAAAGCGCUCGUAGGUGGUUCGGUAAGUCGGAUGUGAAAUCUCCAGGCUCAACCUGGAGGGGUCAUUCGAUACUGCCGUGACUAGAGUUCGGUAGGGGAGUGUGGAAUUCCAGGUGUAGCGGUGAAAUGCGUAGAUAUCUGGAGGAACACCGGUGGCGAAGGCGGCAUCCUGGACCAACACUGACGCUGAGUGAGCGAAAGCCAGGGGAGCAAACGGG
rnacentral:rRNA from 1 species